ACUUGGAUAUGGAUUCUUCACGGUAACGUAACUGAAUGUGGAGACGUCGGCGCGAGCCCUGGGAGGAGUUAUCUUUUCUUCUUAACAGCUUAUCACCCCGGAAUUGGUUUAUCCGGAGAUGGGGUCUUAUGGCUGGAAGAGGCCAGCNCCUUUGCUGGCUCCGGUGCGCUUGNGAUCGGCCCUUGAAAAUCCACAGGAAGGAAUAGUUUUCAUGCUAGGUCGUACU
rnacentral:rRNA from 1 species